CCCUUGGGAUGACUAGCAUGCGAGUCAUUGUAGCAAUACAAGGCAGACGGCUCGGUAACGCGUAGUCAAUCUACCCUAUGGACGGGAAUAACCUCGGGAAACUGAGAAUAAUGCCCGAUAGAACAUUAUACCUGGAACGGUUUAUGUUUCAAAUGAUUUAUCGCCGUAGGAUGGGACUGCGGCCUAUCAGUUUGUUGGUGAGGUAAUGGCCCACCAAGACUAUUACAGGUACGGGCUCUGAGAGGAGUAGCCCGGAGAUGGGUACUGAGACACGGACCCAGGCCCUAUGGGGCGCAGCAGGCGAGAAAACUUUGCAAUGUGCGAAAGCACGACAAGGUUAAUCCGAGUGGUUUCUGCUAAAGAAACCUUUUGCUAGUCCUAGAAACACUAGUGAAUAAGGGGUGGGCAAGUUCUGGUGUCAGCCGCCGCGGUAAAACCAGCACCUCAAGUGGUCAGGAUGAUUAUUGGGCCUAAAGCAUCCGUAGCCGGCUCUGUAAGUUUUCGGUUAAAUCUGUACGCUCAACGUACAGGCUGCCGGGAAUACUGCAGAGCUAGGGAGUGGGAGAGGUAGACGGUACUCGGUAGGAAGGGGUAAAAUCCUUUGAUCUAUUGAUGACCACCUGUGGCGAAGGCGGUCUACCAGAACACGUCCGACGGUGAGGGAUGAAAGCUGGGGGAGCAAACCGGAUUAGAUACCCGGGUAGUCCCAGCUGUAAACUAUGCAAACUCAGUGAUGCAUUGGCUUGUGGCCAAUGCAGUGCUGCAGGGAAGCCGUUAAGUUUGCCGCCUGGGGAAGUACGUACGCAAGUAUGAAACUUAAAGGAAUUGGCGGGGGAGCACCACAAGGGGUGAAGCCUGCGGUUCAAUUGGAGUCAACGCCGGG
rnacentral:rRNA from 1 species